AGUGAACGCUGGCGGUAGGCCUAACACAUGCAAGUCGAACGGCAGCACAGUAAGAGCUUGCUCUUACGGGUGGCGAGUGGCGGACGGGUGAGGAAUACAUCGGAAUCUACUUUUUCGUGGGGGAUAACGUAGGGAAACUUACGCUAAUACCGCAUACGACCUACGGGUGAAAGCAGGGGAUCUUCGGACCUUGCGCGAUUGAAUGAGCCGAUGUCGGAUUAGUUAGUUGGCGGGGUAAAGGCCCACCAAGGCGACGAUCCGUAGCUGGUCUGAGAGGAUGAUCAGCCACACUGGAACUGAGACACGGUCCAGACUCCUACGGGAGGCAGCAGUGGGGAAUAUUGGACAAUGGGCGCAAGCCUGAUCCAGCCAUACCGCGUGGGUGAAGAAGGCCUUCGGGUUGUAAAGCCCUUUUGUUGGGGAAGAAAAGCAGCAGGUUAAUACCCCGCUGUUCUGACGGUACCCAAAGAAUAAGCACCGGCUAACUUCGUG
rnacentral:rRNA from 1 species